GCGGGUGUGGCGGAAUUGGCAGACGCGCACGGUUCAGGUCCGUGUGAGGGUAACCUCAUGGGAGUUCAAGUCUCCCCACCCGCACCA
rnacentral:tRNA from 1 species